CAGGGCUGACUGUCGUCGGCUGGAAUCGGUCGAUGCCUGCUGCCAGGGGCAGAGGCCGCACCAGGCCUGGGGGACGGCACGCGCUGGAUGGCCAGGCCUGGGCACACACUGCCUGGAGAGGGUCAGCCCCGCCUGGAGCCCGUGGUCUGCGCGUGGGGAAGGGAUGGUUCACCAGGGAAGCCCAGAGGCGAGUGGACUCCAGAUACUGCAGUCCCACCUGGUGAGGCCCGGAUCCCUCCUUUCUGGCUGGAAUUGUCCUGGGGCCAGAUGAGAUCCGAGGAAGGCUGUGAGCUGUGGUGGGCACCGUGCCAUCCAGAAACAGGGGAGCCGAGGGGGUCCAAUUGGGCUGGAAAGACCCCAGUCUGUUUGGGUCUGAGGCCUCACCUGUAACAGGUCCUCCAACUGCAAGAAGGGGUGAUGCCCUCAAGUUGGCGACCAAGGGGUCACUUCUGGAGAAAGCCCAGAGCUGCAGGAAGUGGCCAGACACCUGCUCCACUGUUGCCAG